AUUGAACGCUGGCGGCAUGCCUAACACAUGCAAGUCGAACGAGUGGCGGACGGGUGAGUAAUGUCUGGGAAACUGCCCGAUGGCGGGGGAUAACUACUGGAAACGGUAGCUAAUACCGCAUACUAUCGGAUGUGCCCAGAUGGGAGUAGCUAGUUGGUGGGGUAAAGUCUGACCUAGGCGCCUAUCCCUAGCUGGUCUGAGAGGAUGACCAGCCAAACUGGAACUGAGCAACGGCCCAGACUCCUACGGUAGGCAGCAGUGGGGAAUAUUGGACAAUGGGGGCAAGCCUGAUGCAGCCAGGCCGCGGGUAUGAAGAAGGCUUUCGGGUUGUAAAGUACUUUCAGCGGGGAGGCGUUACUCGCAGAAGAAGCACCGGCUAACUACGUGCCAGCAGCCGCGGUAAUAC
rnacentral:rRNA from 1 species